CGGAAUCGCUAGUAAUCGCGAAUCAGAAUGUCGCGGUGAAUACGUUCCCGGGUCUUGUACACACCGCCCGUCACACCAUGGGAGUCGGAAAUGCCCGAAGUCUGUGACCCAACCUGCAAGGGAGGGAGCAGCCGAAGGCAGGUCGGAUGACUGGGGUGAAGUCGUAACAAGGUACC
rnacentral:rRNA from 1 species